rnacentral:lncRNA from 1 species
AUGAACUUUGUGCUCCCACGGCGCGGCCCAAAACCAAAGGGCUCAAUGUCUCCCCCUGGCGGCGGAGGGCGGCGCUGCAGCUCCUGCUCUGCUCGGAUCCACAGAGUCCCGUUAUGGGGGUGGGGGGUUCAUUGCGGGGGGGGGGGGUUUAUUUGGGGUCCCCCCCCCUCCUCAGCUCUUUUCUUUUUGCUUUUUUUUUUUUGUCCUUUUUUCCCAUUUUUUCCUCACAUUUUUUGCUUUUUUUUCAUGUUUUUUUUUCUCCUUUUUUUCCUCGUUUUUUUUCCUCUUUUUUUGAUCCAUUUUUCCUCCAUUUUUGAUGCAUUUUCUGCUCCUUCUUUUCCCUUUUUCUUCCUCUUUUUUUUUGCUCCUUUUUCUCCAUUUUGCCUUUUUCCACCUUUUUUCCUCUUUUUUUUCUCCUAUUUUCUCCAUUUUUGCUUUAUUUUCCUCCAUUUUCUCCUUUUUUUCCUCUUUUUCUCCUCCUAUUUUCUCCAUUUUUCUUCAUUUUCCUCCAUUUUCUCCUUUCUUUCCUCCUUUUUGCCUCCAUUUUUCCUCCAUUUUCUUCCAUUUUUUCUCCUUCUUUUCACUCUUUUUCCUUUUUUCCUCCUUUUUUCCCUCCUUUUUUCCCUUUUUUCCCCAUUUUCCCCCCUUUUUCCUGCUUUUUUCCUCCAUUUUUCCUCUUUUUUAUCCCCGAUUUUUCUUCCUUUUUUCCUCUUCUUUCCCAUUUUCUCCUUUUUUUCCCUCCUUUUUUUCUCUUUUUUUCUCCUUCUUUUCCCCAUUUUCCUUUAUUUUUUCUCCUAUUUCUUUCAUAUUUUCUCCCUUUUUCCCCAUUUCCUCCUUUUUUUCCUCUUUUUUUCCUUCUAUUUUCUCCUUCUUUCCUCUUUUUCCCCCAUUUUUUCCUCCAUUUUUUCUUCACCUUUUCCCAUUUCUCUCAAUUUUCCCCCUCUUUCCCCCCCAAUUCUCCUUUUUAUCUCAUUUUCUCCCUCUUUUCUCUUUUUUCUCCUAUUUCCUCCUAUUUUCCUGCUUUUUUUUCUCUAUUUUUCCUCCAUUUUUUCUCCUCCUUUUUCCCUUUUCCUCCUUUUUUUCUCUUUUU